AGAUUUUCAUCCUUCUGCCUCUCCACUCUAAGGGAUGGUUUAUGGGGCAGAGAGAGCUGCUGCUCAACAUCAGCCUCAAGUAACCGCUAAAGAAAGGAGGCACCCAAAGGAGAAGCUUCAAGAGUCCAUCUUCCCUCACUGACACUUGAAGCAGGCACAGGGAGAGCAGUGAUGCUGAUGAGCAUGGAUCAACCCCUCAAGCUGAGUUACUAUUUCAUAGUCAGGAAGAGCCACAGUGGCAAUAUUGAGACCCAGCAUGUGAGAGAUGACCGUUCGGAAGUCUGCCAGCUGUGAGAGCAAAGGAAAACAGGUUUCGGGCCAUGACCUUAUUGGCAGUCAAUGUGUCUCUUUCCAGUUUGAUCAACUGCUCUGCACGAGCCAGCACUGCGUCCAACCUCAUGCCAAAUCCAACCUCCUCUGCUAUGCUGUCCAGGCUCAGCUUCUCAGAGAGCUGAUCCAGAAACUUAAGAUACUUUAGAAAGAAAAGAUGGGGAGAAAGGCAUCCAGUGUGGUCAGAACAAAGCUGGCAUUCUGAGCCUCAUACAACUAAUUGCUUUAACAGAAAUAAAGAUUUAUUCACGUCUAAAUGUAA